rnacentral:rRNA from 1 species
UAUUGAACGCUGGCGGCAGGCCUAACACAUGCAAGUCGAGCGAGAAAUCACUUCGGUGAGAGUACAGCGGCGGACGGGUGAGUAACGCGUAGGAAUCUACCCGGUAGUGGGGGACAACAUGGUGAAAACCAUGCUAAUACCGCAUACGCCCUAUGGGGGAAAGCGGGGGACCUUCGGGCCUCGCGCUAUCGGAUGAGCCUGCGUAAGAUUAGCUAGUUGGUGGGGUAAAAGCCUACCAAGGCGACGAUCUUUAGCUGGUCUGAGAGGAUGAUCAGCCACACUGGGACUGAGACACGGCCCAGACUCCUACGGGAGGCAGCAGUGGGGAAUAUUGCGCAAUGGGCGAAAGCCUGACGCAGCCAUGCCGCGUGUGUGAAGAAGGCCCUAGGGUUGUAAAGCACUUUCAAUUGGGAAGAAAAGCUGUACGUUAAUAGCGUGCAGCCCUGACAUUACCUUUAGAAGAAGCACCGGCUAACUCCGUGCCAGCG